CUAGGUCGACGGAAGUCAUUGCGCCUUCCCGGUUUUUUUAUUCUUGAUUAUUUUGGUGGUGGUGUUUUGAAGGUGUAUUUACAGUUUUCCGUGCGGCGCUGGCAAAAAACAAGUUUAUGGAUAGUGCUGCCAUCGUAUUUUAAUUUUGGACUUAAUACUAUUACGAAAGUGUGACGUCAUUCACGUCUUAUCCCGACCCCAAACAGCUGAUGGGAGUUUGUUUACCUUAUUUGUAACAUGGCGUUAAUAAACUUGUCCGACCUUUUCGAGCAUUUUCUGAAGAAAUUACCGCGUUUGGUAAAUGCGAAUAUACCUAGUUAGUGGAAAUGUGCUUGCGGUGUAAUUUAAUGGACAUGAACAAAUAAUGCUUAUAAAUGAAUGAAGGAAGUAUGAAAAGAAAUGCAAGUGGCGGUUAAUUUAAACGAAG